CUGCGAGACACCCAUGGUGCUGGGACACCUGCAGUCAGGACACCUGCACAGUCAGGCACAGAUCACUUCAGGACUGGCUGAAGAACAAGAGUUAGUCAAGAAAAGCUGAAGUCCACAGAGGGAUGGCAUCCUGCUCUUCUGAGGGAAAAGUGAGUCCUCAAUGUGUUCCCAGCCCUCCUCACUCUCAGACUGAACCUUUUCUGGGUGCAGAGUAGCAGAAAGUAAAGCAGUUGUAGUGGCUGUGAACUCCUUCAAACAGCUCUGAUGACCCAGAGGUUUCUUUCAUUCCUGAAAGAAACAAGCAGCUUGUUAGAAACAAACUUAUUUCUGUUUUAAAACAAAACUACCUGCUAUAAAGCAUCUUACUCAUUUUCUCCAGCAGCCUGAGUGUCUGUGGGAACCAGUGAGCCCUUCCUUUGUACCAAACUCUUUAUUUUUCAAUUGCUUGACAUUGCAGGUUGCAGUGCAACUGAGUGAGUUCUAGGCAUCAGUAAUAAAACUCUGCUGUUUGCCAGUGACCUCUGCCUUUUACUUACUUCAUCCUCCUGCAGGUAACGCACACCAGGUGUGUUACCCUUCAACUUUCUCUUGGUUGUAUCCCCCAAAAACCACCCUGUGUCCCUGUGCUGCUGUGUCAUUCCACCUGCAGGCACCAGAACACCUGGUUGGGGACCAGCACUUUGAUAUUUCUCCAGCCUUGGACUUUACAGCAGUGUGGUGUAACGAGACUCAGCACCACGAGCCCCUGCCCUGAAACAGAAAUAGCUUCUGCAGCCCUGUUUUCUGUUUGCACUCUGAAUCACUGCUUCAACUGUCCCCACUCUUCUGCAUUCCUGGGUUAGCCACUGCCCUGGCUCAAGGUGAGUUUCAGGGAUGUGGUGUUUAGUAUGUUUUAGUAAUAGCUUGGAGUCAUUAAUGCUGCUGAUUCAAAAGAGCACUGCCCACCCAAAACCCUCCUCACCUGAGAGCACAGCAGGGACACAGUCCCUCCCCCCUGCCCAGUACAGCAACACCCUCGGGACUGGUGUUAGAGCAGCGCUGCUGCUUUUGUUCAAGAGUUAAAUUAACGUGACAGCCUCUCUCAGCUGCCAGUUUGGAGUUAAACUGAACACUUGGGGAUUGCAGGGAGGGAAUAGUCCACCUCCAGCCACGUCCUCCAGCUUCCAAACUGGGAUGCUGUACCCACAGAACCUCUGGAGCUGCCAAAGCCACCAGCAACCAUCCAAUCUCCUCUGCUGUGUGAACAGAGCAGCCCCAGCCUGGAUCCAGCACUGGAAUGUCAGAUUGGACUCCUGCUGCCAGGGAGAACAAGUGGAUGAGCCCUGGGAAGGGAGGAACCCGCUCACCCCCAGGUCAUCCUGCAAAUGGCACAGCUCCUCACGGAGAUUCUUGAAAGUGGAAAGCACAAGUCUCAGGGAUUUAUCCGACGUCGCUCUCAUCUAGGAGGGAAAGAAUGAAAUGGAUAAUUGGGAUUAAUUAGCCCUGUUUACAAAAUGAAAUGGAUAAUUGGGAUUCAUUAGCUCUGUUUACAAUAUGCUUGACAAGAGGUAGAACAGAAACUGCUGUACAGCUGAAAAUAAGUUUUAAACACUGCACAUGCUUUGAAGUGCCCACAGUUUCUACAAGAAACACAUUUUCAUGCACUUUGUUCUGCAAGUGCCACAGUUUUAAAUUGCUACCUUGCAACACAGGACAACAUUCUAAAAUGGAAGGAAUAAGAGAGUAAGGAACUGCCUUUGUAUACCAAUAAAGGGAAAAAUGAACGUGCUAAUAUUGCACAAUCAUUGAGCAUUCAAAGCUUUGUGCUUACACUGAUUCAAAAAAAAUGACUGCCCUGCCUGAGAAGCCAUGGAAUGAGUCAUGUUUGAGAUCUGCAAAGCUUUGGGCUCAAGGGUGAGGGAAUUUAAUUAACAUUUUCAAAAAUUUAAUUUAAAAAAGUUCAUACAACCAACUCCUCCCCUUAGAAGGAGAAAGAUCCCAAAGAUGAAAGGAGUCACCUGGAUGAAAGAGAAAGGCAGAAGUGCAUCACAGCCAAGCACUGUUCUCCUUUGGAAUGUUAAUUUUAAUGCCUGUAAGAGCUGUCAAUUGAUUCAGGUGAAAACACAAGUUGUUGCAUUUCAUGAUACAUUUUUGGUAUUUGAAAGAAGAAAUACAGACUUUGAAAGGACACCCAAGUAAAUCCUUAAGUUGUGACUCCCCUGGAAGGGCUGAAUAUUCUGUGCAAAAGCUGUUCUUUACUGUCUGGACAAAGUGAUCCUUCCUGUCUGUUCCCUUGAUUUGCUGCUCAUCCCAACUGCAGGAUGUGCUGCAGUUCCAUCCAUGUGGGCACUGGCCUUUCUGUGAUUUUUUUAUCCCCACUGGUGCCACUGUGAGAC